rnacentral:lncRNA from 1 species
GGGACAUUAUCAAGCUAAGUUCCAUUUCUUCUUUCUCACACUGUGGCUCAUUUUCUUCAUCAUCACUGUUUUGAGAAUUUCGACAGCUUCCAAGAGAACGAUGGUGAGAGAGUGCUUUGUGAUGCUCCAUCUGAUAUCCAUCACUCUCCAAACCAGCCAACACAUCAAUCAUGGCCUCAUCAGCACUGUCCAAAAAAACUGUAGUCUGACACAGUUUUUGAGACAAACGAUGAAAGCUCU